rnacentral:miRNA from 8 species
UACGUCAUCGUUGUCAUCGUCA